rnacentral:misc_RNA from 1 species
GAGAGAGAGAGUAUAAUCUAUGUUAGAAUCUAAUCUGGAAGAGGGCAUAAUUGUACUAAGAUUAUUUGAAUUAUUUCUUCUGUUCGUUUGGUUUAUGGAGCUUGUACUAUGGACAUGUUUUCGACAGCUGCCAGAACUUCGUUUUAAAUUCUAUUGGUUUUACAUUUGCAAAUUCCUUAUAACAUUCUACAUUUGCCUGCCAUAAUAUUAAUAAUUAUAUUGUUCAUCAACCACAAAUCAUAAGAACUCAAUUUGCUGCAGGCUGUUCCUGAUGGGCUUGAAGAA